UACGGAGGGUGCGAGCGUUGUCCGGAAUCACUGGGCGUAAAGGGCGCGUAGGCGGCCUGAUAAGUAGGGGGGUGAAAUCCUGCGGCUUAACCGCAGGGCUGCCUUCUAAACUGUCAGGCUAGAGCACGGUAGAGGCAGAUGGAAUUCCCGGUGUAGCGGUGGAAUGCGUAGAGAUCGGGAAGAACAUCAGUGGCGAAGGCGGUCUGCUGGGCCGGUUGCUGACGCUGAGGCGCGACAGCGUGGGGGAGCAAACAGG
rnacentral:rRNA from 1 species